rnacentral:rRNA from 1 species
UACAGAGGGGGCAAGCGUUAUUCGGAAUUAUUGGGCGUAAAGGGCGCGUAGGCGGCCUGGCAAGUGGAAGGUGAAAUCCCUCGGCUUAACCGAGGAACUGCCUCCCAAACUGCUUGGCUCGAGACCGGGAGAGGUGAGUGGAAUUCCCAGUGUAGCGGUGAAAUGCGUAGAUAUUGGGAGGAACACCAGUGGCGAAGGCGGCUCACUGGACCGGUACUGACGCUGAGGCACGAAGGUCAGGGGAGCAAACGGG